GCCUUCAUAGCUCUGACAGUGGUAGAGCGCUGGUCUAGUAAACCGAGGUCAGGAGUUCGAUUCUCCUUGGAGGCA